UACAUAGGGGGCAAGCGUUGUCCGGAAUUACUGGGCGUAAAGGGAGCGUAGGCGGUUGAUUAAGUCAUGUGUGAAAGCCUGGGGCUUAACUCCAGAAUUGCACCUGAUACUGGUUAACUAGAGUAUUGGAGAGGUAAGUGGAAUUCCUAGUGUAGCGGUGAAAUGCGUAGAUAUUAGGAGGAACAUCGGUGGCGAAGGCGGCUUACUGGACAAUAACUGACGCUGAGGCUCGAAAGUGUGGGGAGCAAAC
rnacentral:rRNA from 1 species